CACGUAGGGAGCAAGCGUUGUCCGGAUUUAUUGGGCGUAAAGAGCUCGUAGGCUGUUCGAUAAGUCGGGUGUGAAACCUCCAGGCUCAACCUGGAGACGCCACCCGAUACUGUCAUGACUAGAGUCCGGUAGGGGAGCGUGGAAUUCCUGGUGUAGCGGUGAAAUGCGCAGAUAUCAGGAGGAACACCAGCGGCGAAGGCGGCGCUCUGGAACGGUACUGACGCUGAGACGCGAAAGCGUGGGGAGCGAACAGG
rnacentral:rRNA from 1 species